rnacentral:rRNA from 1 species
GUUGUUGGGUAGGGGAGCGUUCUGUAAGCCUGUGAAGGUGGCCUGUGAGGGUUGCUGGAGGUAUCAGAAGUGCGAAUGCUGACAUAAGUAACGAUAAAGCGGGUGAAAAGCCCGCUCGCCGGAAGACCAAGGGUUCCUGUCCAACGUUAAUCGGGGCAGGGUGAGUCGACCCCUAAGGCGAGGCCGAAAGGCGUAGUCGAUGGGAAACGGGUUAAUAUUCCCGUACUUGGUGUUACUGCGAAGGGGGGACGGAGAAGGCUAUGUUGGCCGGGCGACGGUUGUCCCGGUUUAAGCGUGUAGGUGUGUGUUCCAGGUAAAUCCGGUUCACUUUAACACUGAGGCGUGACGACGAGGCACUACGGUGCUGAAGCAACAAAUGCCCUGCUUCCAGGAAAAGCCUCUAAGCAUCAGGUAACAUCAAAUCGUACCCCAAACCGACACAGGUGGUCAGGUAGAGAAUACCAAGGCGCUUGAGAGAACUCGGGUGAAGGAACUAGGCAAAAUGGUGCCGUAACUUCGGGAGAAGGCACGCUGACACGUAGGUGAAGUGAUUUACUCAUGGAGCUGAAGUCAGUCGAAGAUACCAGCUGGCUGCAACUGUUUAUUAAAAACACAGCACUGUGCAAACACGAAAGUGGACGUAUACGGUGUGACGCCUGCCCGGUGCCGGAAGGUUAAUUGAUGGGGUCAGCGCAAGCGAAGCUCCUGAUCGAAGCCCCGGUAAACGGCGGCCGUAACUAUAACGGUCCUAAGGUAGCGAAAUUCCUUGUCGGGUAAGUUCCGACCUGCACGAAUGGCGUAAUGAUGGCCAGGCUGUCUCCACCCGAGACUCAGUGAAAUUGAACUCGCUGUGAAGAUGCAGUGUACCCGCGGCAAGACGGAAAGACCCCGUGAACCUUUACUAUAGCUUGACACUGAACAUUGAGCCUUGAUGUGUAGGAUAGGUGGGAGGCUUUGAAGCGUGGACGCCAGUCUGCGUGGAGCCGACCUUGAAAUACCACCCUUUAAUGUUUGAUGUUCUAACGUGGACCCGUAAUCCGGGUUGCGGACAGUGUCUGGUGGGUAGUUUGACUGGGGCGGUCUCCUCCUAAAGAGUAACGGAGGAGCACGAAGGUUGGCUAAUCCUGGUCGGACAUCAGGAGGUUAGUGCAAUGGCAUAAGCCAGCUUGACUGCGAGCGUGACGGCGCGAGCAGGUGCGAAAGCAGGUCAUAGUGAUCCGGUGGUUCUGAAUGGAAGGGCCAUCGCUCAACGGAUAAAAGGUACUCCGGGGAUAACAGGCUGAUACCGCCCAAGAGUUCAUAUCGACGGCGGUGUUUGGCACCUCGAUGUCGGCUCAUCACAUCCUGGGGCUGAAGUAGGUCCCAAGGGUAUGGCUGUUCGCCAUUUAAAGUGGUACGCGAGCUGGGUUUAGAACGUCGUGAGACAGUUCGGUCCCUAUCUGCCGUGGGCGCUGGAGAACUGAGGGGGGCUGCUCCUAGUACGAGAGGACCGGAGUGGACGCAUCACUGGUGUUCGGGUUGUCAUGCCAAUGGCACUGCCCGGUAGCUAAAUGCGGAAGAGAUAAGUGCUGAAAGCAUCUAAGCACGAAACUUGCCCCGAGAUGAGUUCUCCCUGAGACUUUAGGUCUCCUGAAGGAACGUUGAAGACGACGACGUUGAUAGGCCGGGUGUGUAAGCGCAGCGAUGCGUUGAGCUAACCGGUACUAAUGAACCGUGAGGCUUAACCUUAC